CCGUCUUUUUGUAACACAGAGACGGCUAAGUGGGUUUGUUUGGGUGUUGAAGUGUACGUAGCGGACUCUGAGAAAUCGGUCGGAUUUCGUCCUAAAACACGGCGCUGUACGACGCAUUCCUAAGUUCAACUGUAGCGCCUGUCUCCCUUUCUUUAUGUCCUUUGGAAAAGAACAAGUUGGAAGUUAAAAGAUGUCAGCAGUAGAUGUGAGGUGUGUUUGUGAGAGACUGUCAAGGCGCAGCAUGUUUAAGCAGUGAUCUAAGCCCAGAGCUCUGGUCAUGGAGUCCCGCUUUGGGAAUGUGGUGUUCAGCUCGCGCUUUGACUCCGGGAACCUGGGCCGGGUGGAGAAGGUGGAGGUGCCUGAACGUGAUGCUGAGAGAAGCUCAUUCUCACACGUCGACUACGAGUUCAGCGUCUGGACUAAACCUGACUGCGCAGACACCGAGUUUGAGAAUGGGAAUCGAUCAUGGUUCUACUUCAGCGUACGUGGUGUGCAGCCGGGUAAACUGCUGAAGAUUAACGUGAUGAACAUGAAUAAGCAGAGCAAGCUCUACUCUCAAGGCAUGGCUCCAUUUGUGCGCACCUUUCCUGUGAAAAUGCGCUGGGAAAGAGUUCGGGAGAGACCGAUGUUCGAGAUGUCAGAGAAUCAGUUCACUUUGUCGUUCAUGCAUCGUGUGCUGGAAGGGCGAGGAGUCAUCACAUACUUCGCUUUCUGCUAUCCGUUCUCCUACACCGAGUGCCAGGACAUGCUUUUGCAGCUAGACCAGAGACUGCUCAGCCAUUCUCACACACUAGGGCCUUGCAGCCCGGCAGACAGUCUGUAUUAUCACCGUGAGUUGCUGUGUUACACUCUGGAUGGGCACAGAGUAGACCUGCUGACUGUGACCUCCUGCCAUGGCAUGCUGGAGGAGAGAGAACCCAGACUGGAGAAACUCUUUCCUGACCACAGCACACCACGACCACACCGCUUUGCUGGCAAACGGGUGUUUUUCAUCAGCAGCAGGGUGCACCCCGGUGAGACACCCUCCAGCUAUGUUUUUAAUGGCUUCCUGAACUUCAUUCUGAAUCAGGAAGACCCACGGGCACAAAUGCUGUGCCGGUUGUUUGUCUUUAAGCUCAUUCCCAUGCUCAAUCCUGAUGGAGUUGUCAGAGGUCACUACAGGACGGACUCACGUGGUGUGAAUCUUAACCGACAGUAUAUGAACCCGAGUGCUGAGCUUCACCCCUCCAUCUACGGAGCCAAAUCCCUCCUCCUCUACCAUCACCGGCACAACCGCCUUAAACCCAGCUCUCCCUCUGCACUUAAACUCUCCAACCAGUCCAACACCACCGCCACCCCACUCCUCACUACGCCUCUUGAACUUGAACACUACCUCAAUUGCCGCAACGAGGUGGAGCGAUUAGAGGGCCCAACUCUUGACCUCUCGCAGAUACCCAUGCAGAUGGAUGAGAGUUGGGAGAGUAAAGGCAGAGUGAAGGGCAAGUUUGGGCUAGGCGAUGAGAAUGACUCGACCCCAAGCCGGAGUGACGCAUGCGUCUCUAACCUCACCCCAACAGAGCAGAUCCCACCGCAGGAAAGCGGAGUGGCCUAUUACAUAGACCUACAUGGCCACGCCUCCAAAAGAGGAUGCUUUAUGUACGGUAACAAUCUGCCUGAUGAGAAUCAGCAAGUGGAGAACCUGAUGUAUCCAAAGCUGAUCUCGAUGAACUCGGCCCAUUUUGACUUCCUCGGCUGUAAUUUCUCAGAGAAGAACAUGUAUGCACGUGACAAGCGUGAUGGUCAGUCUAAAGAGGGCAGCGGCAGAGUGGCCAUACACAAAGCUAUUGGAGUAGUUCACAGUUACACGUUGGAGUGUAACUACAACACAGGCCGUUCAGUCAACACCAUUCCACCCGCCUGCCAUGACAACGGCCGUGCCACUCCUCCUCCUCCUCCUGCCUUCCCUCCCAAAUACACACCUGAAGUGUACGAACAGGUUGGCCGUGCAGUUGCCAUAGCAGCCCUGGACAUGGCUGAAUGUAACCCAUGGCCGAGGCUCGUCCUGUCCGAGCACAGCAACCUGGUGAACCUACGAGCAUCACUGCUCAAACACGUGCGCAACAGCAAGGGCUUGGUCUCCAACAGCCGCAAGAAUGCAAACAAGGCUCCCGGCCCUCCGAAAUGCGCAGGCCUGAGCAGCUCUGUUUCGGAGAAUUCCCUUAGCCGGAGUCGCAGCCAUGGCACGCGGAACGGCAGCAUCCCUGGGAACAAGCAGACAUCUCCACAGCUGAAGAGUUCCCCUAGCUUUACAUUUGGCUGGAGCAGUUCUGGAAACACCCCCAGCUCACAUAGACCUGCCCACAAAGCCCUGGGGCCAGUCAGAGAGUCGAAAGCUCUGGAGAAGAGGCGCCAACACCAACUCGGGCAGCGCCUCUCACUCCACUGUCCCAGCAACAGCCAAGCCGUCCCAGCACGUCCCCCACUCUCCCCUUCUUCCUCUUCCUCCUCCUCCUCCUCUUCCUCCUCCCCCUCCUCCUCCUUGGGGGCGGGGUCAGCCUCUUGUUCCAUCAAUACGGCAGGUCUGUACUCCCACACCGGCCUGCUCACCAAACUAAGCUCUCUGCACCACACCUGCCUCAGAGACACUCAGACAACACAGCCAGCACAGCAAGACUAACUGGCUGCUGUGUGCAUGACUGUGUGUGUGACUGUGUGUGACUGUGUGUGUGACUGUGUGUGUGACUGUGUGUGUGACUGUGUGUGACUGUGUGUGUGACUGUGUGUGUGACUGUGUGUGUGACUGUGUGUGUGACUGUGUGUGAGACUGUGUGUGCCUGUGUGUGUGAGCGUUGUGUGAGCAUUGUGUGAGCGUUGUGUGAGCGUUGUGAGUGUGUUGUGAGUGUGUUGUGAAUGUGUGUGUUGUGAGAGUGUGUGUUGUGAGAGUGUGUGUUGUGAGAGUGUGUGUUGUGAGAGUGUGUGUUGUGAGAGUGUGUGUUGAGUGUGUGUGUUGAGUGUGUGUGUUGUGAGAGUAUGUGUUGUGAGAGUAUGUGUUGUGAGUGUGUUGUGAGAGUAUGUGUUGUGAGUGUGUUGUGAGAGUGUGUGUUGUGUGUUGUGAGUGUGUUGUGAGAGUGUGUGUUGUGAAAGUAUGUGUUGUGAAUGUGUUGUGAGAGUAUGUGUUGUGAGUAUGUGUUGUGUGUGUUGUGAGAGUAUGUGUUGUGAGUGUGUUGUGAGAGUAUGUGUUGUGAGUGUGUUGUGAGAGUGUGUGUUGUGAGAGUGUGUGUUGUGAGUGUGUUGUGAGAGUGUGUGUUGUGAGAGUAUGUGUUGUGAUUGUGUUGUGAGAGUGUGUGUUGUGAGGGCGUUGUGAGAGUGUGUGUUGUGAGAGUAUGUGUUGUGAGUGUAUUGUGAGUGUGUUGUGAGAGUGUGUGUUGUGAGAGUAUGUGUUGUGAUUGUGUUGUGAGAGUGUGUGUUGUGAGGGCGUUGUGAGAGUGUGUGUUGUGAGAGUAUGUGUUGUGAGUGUGUUGUGAGAGUGUGUGUUGUGAGUGCGUUGUGAGGGUAUGUGUUGUGAUUGUGUUGUGAGAGUGUUGAGAGUAUGUGUUGUGAGUGUAUUGUGAGAGUGUAGUGAGUGUGUUGUGAGUGUAUGUGUUGAGUGUGUGUUGUGAGAGUGUGUGUUGUGAGAGAGUGUGUUGUGAGAGUAUGUGUUGUGAUUGUGUUGUGAGUGUGUUGUGAGAGUAUGUGUUGUGAGUGUGUUGUGAGAGUGUGUUGUGAGUGUAUUGUGAGAGUGUAGUGAGUGUGUUGUGAGAGUAUGUGUUGUGAGAGUGUGUGUUGUGAGAGUGUGUGUUGUGAGAGUAUGUGUUGUGAGUGUAUUGUGAGAGUGUAGUGAGUGUGUUGUGAGUGUGUUGUGAGAGUAUGUGUUGUGAGUGUAUUGUGAGAGUGUAGUGAGUGUGUUGUGAGUGUGUUGUGAGAGUAUGUGUUGUGAGUGUAUUGUGAGAGUGUAGUGAGUGUGUUGUGAGAGUAUGUGUUGUGAGUGUGUUGUGAGAGUGUGUUGAGUGUGUUGUGAGUGUAUGGUGAGUGUAUGUGUUGUGAGUGUAUUGUGAGAGUGUAGUGAGUGUGUUGUGAGUGUGUUGUGAGAGUAUGUGUUGUGAGAGUAUGUGUUGUGAGUGUGUUGUGAGAGUGUAGUGAGUGUGUUGUGAGUGUAUGGUGAGUGUAUGUGUUGUGAGUGUAUUGUGAGAGUGUAGUGAGUGUGUUGUGAGUGUAUGGUGAGUGUGUUUUGAGAGUGUCUGUUAAUAGCCAAUUGUAAUGGUUUUGAUUUCGACAGAAGGGGCAGUGAUUUACAAAGUUAUGAAUAUGUUUGUUGGCAGUAAAAUUCAAAUUUGAAACCUUUUGUAAAUUCAUGCAAAUAAUAAGUCUUGGUUUUGUUUUAGUAGCAUUGCACUUUGAUCAUGUUAACAUGAAACACAUACUCAAUGCCUAUGACUGAAUGUAAUGGGAACACAAAAUGGUGCAUAACAACUGUAUUUGUGUGUGUGUGUGUGUGCGUGCGUGUGUGUUACUGUCUUUUGUUUAUUUUUUAGAAACAUUUAUUUCCUGCACAUUAAUGAAUCAUUUCUCCUGUAUGCAUUCUUGCACUUUUCUUCUCUUGUCAAUUAAUGUUUGAAUUUUAUUAACUGUCUUUUUUUUUUAAUUUAUUUUCUUUGCCAUUCAGAUUGCAAUAUAUAUAUAUAUAUGUAUGUAUAUAUAUAAAAUCCCAGUACUAAAUCACAACGUCAUUAGUCUAGCUACCUUCCUGUGGUUAAAUAGUGGCUAAUGUUGACACACUGUAUUUAUGAUGCCAGAAUAUUAAUACUGUAGCAUAAUAUCUAGAAAAAAAAAAUUCUAGAUCUAAAGUCAUUACAUUAUGAACUGAACAGCAUUGUAUGUCAGUUCCAUUCAUGAGGACUACAAUGAUGAGUGUUCGCUGUGUGUAUUUGCACAGUAAUAUUUCUCAAGUAAGAAAUAAUUGCCAGUCACAGUAAUUGUUACUCAUAUCUAAAAGUAAGUUUGUUCCAACACUUUUUAUUUUACUGUUCAUGAAUCAGUGUGGAAUUCAUGAUUCGCUGUUCACGAAUCAUGAUUCACUUGAUGAAUCCGUUCAUGAAUCAGUUUUAUUUCACUGUUGAUGAAUCAGUGUGCAAAAUUUCACUAAAACCUCUAGCUGUUUCACCAUGUGUCAGCUUUAUGAUGUACAGUAUGAAGGUGUGGUGUGUGUGUGUGUGUGUGUGUGUGUGUGUGUGUGUGUGAGUGUGUGUGUGUAAUUCUGUACAUGUUUUAUGUAUGGCCGUUCUAAUGUUUAGAAAUGUUUAUUCAGAUUGUUGGUAGAUGGCUACAUUUUGUGUAGAUGUGUAAACGUUUUUAAAUAUACUACUCUGUAUGUAGUUUUGGGGAACGUUCUGAAAAUGUACUCAUUUAAAUUAACAAGACAGAUUUACAAAUUUUAUUCGGCUCGCUUUUGAAACAGGAAUUCGUUCAUUUUCAUCCUCCAGGCAUUUAAACUACAUAGAGGAGGGAAAACUUGAUCUAGACUAAGUUUGCCGAGUGAUCUGUGUUUGUCCUCAAAACAUUUUACUGAGGUCUACAUUUAAGAACUAUAAAGUCAGUGUUAUAGAUUUAACAAGGGAACAUCUCGAGUGAUCUAAAGCUAACGAUCUAUAUUGAUCAUUGAUUUAAUGCUUUUAUAUGCAGUAGAACACAUUUUAAGGUAAGACUUGCAGCUUUGUACUGUAUACCGUUCAUGCUGCAAGAAGUUCCCAAGUCAAGGAGGUAGUUUUUGUAAUCCACAGGCACUUUAUUCAACUCGCCGGCCCGUACUAUACAUCACCGCUUUUUCGUCACACCUUUUGCCUGCUUCGCCUGUUUUAUGUAGUCUGGAUUUGAACCACUGUGAUGGAACUGAUUUGUGCACGUCUGUGAUUUUUCAAUAUUAAACGAGACAACAGAUAUGAAUAGUUUGGAUAGACUAGCCAGUUCACUGAAUAGAUUAAGUGUUUGAUUUGGUUUUUAAAAGCAACUGCUGUCAUCAUCUGUGGCAUCACCUCAGUAAAAUGGUUUUGUCCUUCUUUUCUUCUUCAUCUUUUAUAUCCAUAACCUAAAUACAGUUCCCUUGUAGGAUGUAGCUUUCUUGUACACUCUCUUAAAAAAAACAAAGGGGUUAAUAGAUCAGUUGAUGGUUCAAGCUUCACUUUAAUUUGAGCCUGUUGUAAAGGGGAAGCCCUCUGUUACUGUACAUCACUAUUAUAAACGUAGGGGCAAAACCCGAACUAUUUACACCACUAACACUUGUCCGUAAUCAUGUUGUUGCUGAUGUCUGUGUCUAAAGCAAAUUUGAAACUCGCAUUUAGCAUUUAAAUCUACAAUACCACUAAAUGUGCUUCACAUUUAAUCUGCAGUGUGAAUGCCAGUGUUCACCAUAUACUGUAUGUAUACACUUUUAUUUACGUAAUUUAUUAUACUGUACCUUAUAUUACACACACUAUAUUGGGCUGUUGGAAGAGAGAAGAGGUGGUCCAAAAUUUUCAUUCUUGAAUAAACAUGACUGCUGGUAA